UCGAUCCAAAACCCACAAGUAAUCAUAAUAUAGUCAAAACAAAGUAAGAACAAAAAUCUAACACAAAGAUUGUUCACCCAAUUUAGCCAAAAAAUAGUCUAAUCUGGGGGGAUCAGAGGUAAGCCCGUCACUAGUAAGAAGCCUUCAGAAGAGUGUACAACCAGUUGAGAAAAACCAAAUCAAACCCACUAAAUGGUCAUCGAUCCACCAGGAUCUCUCAAUAAACCGAACCUAGCCCAUAAGACUAGACAAAAUCUUGCCAAGAACACAAAACAGGUUUACCAGCCACAAUUCAGGCCUAAAACACUGUAACAAUGUUUUACCAUCAUUAGUUAACUACAAAAUUAUUACAAAAAACACAAAAGUUCUCCAGAUCCAAGAAGAAAAGAAGAAGCAGAGGCAGAGAGAGAGAGAAAACCCAGGAGACAAUUUCAUCCAAAAUAGACCGACUGAUUGAUUUCCACCAACCCUCAAAAGUCUUCAAGGCAUUAAUUAUGGAAAAAUAAACCUCAGCCGUAGGAUUAGAUCAAUGGUCCACAAUAGCCAAAAGUGCCAACUGUUGAUAGGAAUACAACUGGGAAAAAUUGCAUUUUGACUUAUGAAAGUGUGGUUUCAGAAACACAAUUCUAUAAAUCUUCACCUUGGUUCUUAAACCGUGCACUUCCUCUCUUAUUGCUAUAAUGCUAGUGACAGAAUCAUACCCUACAUCAUCGCCUAAGUACCUGCACAAAAUAUCAACCUGUAUCAAUAUUAAGCAAUGAUAAACAACAUCUGAAUUUAUUAACAGACAAUAUUUUAGUCCCCAUAUUCACUCCUUCUAAAAUCAAUUUUCAAAACGUAUGUGUCAAACUUUAUAUACCACUGUCUUGGACUUUGUUUGAGUCCAUAUAGAGAUUUUUGCAAUUUGCAAACAAAAUCAGAUUUUCCCCUUUCUUUGAAACCUUGAGGUUGACA
rnacentral:lncRNA from 1 species